rnacentral:siRNA from 1 species
ACGAAAAUUGUCACAGAAACGCGU